rnacentral:lncRNA from 1 species
GAGCAGAUCCUGGCUCAGUGCAAGCGGGCGAAGCUGUGUGCGCAAAGCGGCGCGCGGGUGCAGUGGCCAGGCACCGGGAGCUAGCCAGGUUGAGUGGGCUUAGGUCUGAACCGCGACUUCCCAGACUUCCCUGCUUGCCAAUGCUCCAGGAGCUCUCGGCGCCCAGUGGUCAGCGAACGAACGUCCGGGCUGUUGCGCUCCUGGCCAGCGAGGCGUGGCAGUCUCAGUCACCGACC